rnacentral:rRNA from 1 species
CGCGCAGGCGGUGAUUUAAGCAGGAUGUGGAAGGCUACGGCUCAACCGUAGACAUGCACCCUGAACUGGGUCACUUGAGUAUUGGAGAGGCAGGCAGAAUUCCUGGUGUAGCGGUGAAAUGCGUAGAUAUCAGGAGGAAUACCGGAGGCGAAGGCGGCCUGCUGGACAAAUACUGACGCUGAGGCGCGAAAGCGUGGGAGCAAACA